GGGCGAGUGGCGCAAACGGUAGACGCAGCGGACUUAAAAUCCGUCACCCCUAAGGGAAUGUGGGUUCGACCCCCACCUCGCCCA
rnacentral:tRNA from 2 species